CCGCAGCCGCCGGCUUCUCUUGCACCCAGCUCCUCCUCCCCGUGCCUUCCUUCCUCCCGUCUCGUUCUCCAAUCAUCGACUUCCCUGUCCAGUCGAGGCGCUCGGAGGUAGUACCGGGGCAAGUACCACCGGUGCGACAUCCAGGCCGGCCCACACCGUCCGGGGGUUCCGUGCUCGGCUAGAUCUGACGAUCUAGCUGCCGGAUCCACCGCGGCAGCAACGCCGGCUGCUACCUCCUCUCCGACCCCGACCACCACACCACCUCAACUCCAGCGCGAGACCCUCUACUCUAUCCAUCCUUUCCAUCCACGGCCAGAACCAGCAAUGCUGCUGCCGGAUCGGUGGCGGCGGUUCCUCAUGGUGGCGUCCCCUGCCAUCUCGCUUCAGCCUCCUCCCGACGACGCGCCGGGGGGCUGGGUCCAGGGCCGGCCCUUGGCCAUGGCAAUGAGUGCAGCCGCCUAGGGCCCAGGUCAAGCAGGGGGCCAUACUGCCCUACUUCAUGUAUACACGUAUGAGUAGAAGAAAAGGACCCCAGCCUUUUGUUCUUCCAUCUUAAAAGUAUCCUAAGGAGACUGAUGAAGCAGCACAUUCGGUGAUUGGCCAGUGAGGCGUUGACAGCAGCCCACGUCCACAGGUUAGUUGUUUCUCUUCUGGAUUGCCCAUCUUUCCUUGUUGAUUGCGAAUUUUGUGAAAGAUUUCUUUGCAUGAAAUUGUUGCACAAGUUGUUGCCUCAUAUUAAUGGUGAUCAAGUAUCAUCAAAUCAGCACAUGAUGAUUAGAUACUGCUUUGUUAUUAUGUUGUGGGAUUGCUCUGUAGCUACUUGCAUAGAAGGCGUCUGUGCUUUUGUCCAAAACUGCUAUCUGUAGGCACGUCGUAAAAUAUGCCUGCGGCGGUGCUUGCGAAGACCUGCGUGUCCGUCAGGCCCACUAAACCUAACUUGCACUAGGGCUUCCAAAAUGUUAGGGCCGGCCCUGGCUGGGUCUAGGCGGCCAUCGGACGCCCCACGGUUAGCGUACUAAUCGCCGGCAUCGACCUCACGCCUGUCUUCCCCAUCCAUGGCGCGCGAAUCCUCAAGGAGGACAACACCGACACCAUGUGUGGUUACCGCAGCCACGACGACUAUGUCCAGUUCUACUUCGUCUCUGGCUCCGCUGCUCAGGAUUAUUUGCUGCCUUUACGAGAGCGAGAAUGGCAUCAUCGACUUCUACCUCCUCCAUCUCAAGGACAAAUCUCAUGCAACCCAUGGUGCUGCAUCUGACGCGAUCAUUUGUAAUUUGGUAGUGACUAUUAUAUGUGUAAUGUACGAGUUUUGGAUUAUUUUUUGUUGUAAAUGAUGGCAAUGUGGCUUUAGUGAUGUACCUCUGAUGGUUGUUGUAAUUGAAUAGAACAAUUUAAUGGAAAUUUGUGCGCUUGGCAGAAUUAUGUGUCUUGUUGAUGGAAAAUAUUUGGGUUGUGGAAAAUUAUUUGUACUAGCAAAUAUGCUCGUGCGUUCCAUUUCUUUUUCACGAUGCGAUAAUUGU